rnacentral:rRNA from 1 species
GGUGGGUGAGGAGAGUAUCCUAAGGCCAGCGAGAGAACUGUUGUUAAGGAACUCGGCAAAAUGACCCCGUAACUUAGGGAUAAGGGGUGCCACCAUCAGGUGGCCGCAGAGAAUAGGCCCAAGCGACUGUUUACCAAAAACAUAGGUUUCUGCUAAGUCGCAAGACGAUGUAUAGGAGCUGACGCCUGCCCGGUGCGGGAAGGUUAAGGGGAUCUGUUAGAGCAAUCGAAGCAGUGAACUUAAGCCCCAGUAAACGGCGGCCGUAACUAUAACGGUCCUAAGGUAGCGAAAUUCCUUGUCGGGUAAGUUCCGACCCGCACGAAAGGCGUAACGAUUUGGGCACUGUCUCA